rnacentral:rRNA from 1 species
AUAUCAAUAAGCGGAGGAAAAGAAACUAACAAGGAUUCCCCUAGUAACUGCGAGUGAAGCGGGAAAGACUCAAAUUUAAAAUCUGGUGGUCCUUUGGCCAUCCGAGUUGUAAUUUAGAGAAGCGUCUUCCGCGCUGGACCGUGCAUAAGUCUCCUGGAAUGGAGCGUCAUAGAGGGUGAGAAUCCCGUCUUUGAUCUGGUUGUUGGCGGUACGAUACGUCCUCUAAGAGUCGAGUUGUUUGGGAUUGCAGCUCAAAAUGGGUGGUAAAUUCCAUCUAAAGGCUA